UUGCUACUCCCUCCGUCCGAAAAAACUUGUCGUCAAAAUGGACAAAAAAGGGUGUAUCUAGAACUAAAAUACAUCUAGAUACAUCCUCUUUUAUUUAUUUUGAUGACAAGUAUUUCCGGACAGAGGGAGUACAUU
rfam:Triticum aestivum genome assembly, contig: Triticum_aestivum_CS42_TGACv1_scaffold_193607_3AL